AGCGAUAGGCCUAACACAUGCAAGUCGAGGGGCAGCAUAGGGUAGCAAUACUUUGAUGGCGACCGGCGCACGGGUGAGUAACGCGUAUGCAACCUACCUAUAACAGGGGAAUAAGCCCGGAGAAAUUCGGACUAAUACCGCAUAAAACAGGGGCUCCGCAUGGUGAUAUUUGUUAAAGAUUUAUCGGUUAUAGAUGGGCAUGCGUUCCAUUAGCCAGUUGGUGAGGUAACGGCUCACCAAAGCAACGAUGGAUAGGGGUUCUGAGAGGUUUGUCCCCCACACUGGAACUGAGACACGGACCAGACUCCUACGGGAGGCAGCAGUGAGGAAUAUUGGUCAAUGGGCGAGAGCCUGAACCAGCCAAAUCGCGUGAAGGAAGACUGCCUUAUGGGUUGUAAACUUCUUUUAUACAGGAAUAAAAAGAUUACGUGUAACUUAUUGCAAGUACAGUACGAAUAAGCAUCGGCUAACUCCGUGCCAGCAGCCGCGGUAAUACGGAGGAUGCGAGCGUUAUCCGGAUUUAUUGGGUUUAAAGGGUGCGCAGGCGGGAACUUAAGUCAGCGGUGAAAUCUCGACGCUUAACGUCGAAACUGCCGUUGAAACUGGGUUUCUUGAGUAUAGAUGAAGUAGGCGGAAUUCGUUGUGUAGCGGUGACAUGCUUAGAUAUAACGAGGAACUCCGAUUGCGUAGGCAGCUUACUAAGCUAUAACUGACGCUGAAGCACGAAAGCGUGGGGAUCAAACAGGAUUAGAUACCCUGGUAGUCCACGCCGUAAACGAUGAUUACUAGUUGUAUGCGAUAUACCGUAUGUGACUAAGCGAAAGCGAUAAGUAAUCCACCUGGGGAGUACGCCGGCAACGGUGAAACUCAAAGGAAU
rnacentral:rRNA from 1 species